ACUCCUACGGGAGGCAGCAGUGGGGAAUAUUGCACAAUGGGCGCAAGCCUGAUGCAGCCAUGCCGCGUGUGAGAAGAAGGGCCUUCGGGUUGUAAAGCACUUUCAGUCAGUGAGGAAGGUGAGUGUAGUUAAUAGCUGCAUUAUUUGACGUUAGCGACAGAAGAAGCACCGGCUAACUCCGUGCCAGCAGCCGCGGUAAUACGGAGGGUGCGAGCGUUAAUCGGAAUUACUGGGCGUAAAGCGCAUGCAGGUGGUUUGUUAAGUCAGAUGUGAAAGCCCGGGGCUCAACCUCGGAAUUGCAUUUGAAACUGGCAGACUAGAGUACUGUAGAGGGGGGUAGAA
rnacentral:rRNA from 1 species